rnacentral:rRNA from 1 species
UACAGAGGUCCCAAGCGUUGUUCGGAUUCACUGGGCGUAAAGGGUGCGUAGGUGGUGAGGUAAGUCGGAUGUGAAAGCUCGGAGCUCAACUCCGAAAUGGCAUUGGAAACUACCUUGCUCGAGGGUUGGAGGGGGGACUGGAAUGCUUGGUGUAGCGGUGAAAUGCGUAGAUAUUGGGAGGAACACCAGUGGCGAAGGCGGCUCACUGGACCGGAACUGACGCUGAGGCGCGAAAGCGUGGGGAGCAAACGGG